GACGAACGCUGGCGGCGUGCUUAACACAUGCAAGUCGAACGGAAAGGCCCUGCUUUUGUGGGGUGCUCGAGUGGCGAACGGGUGAGUAACACGUGAGUAACCUGCCCUUGACUUUGGGAUAGCUUCAGGAAACUGGGGCUAAUACCGGAUAGGAGCUCCUGCUGCAUGGUGGGGGUUGGAAAGUUUCGGCGGUUGGGGAUGGACUCGCGGCUUAUCAGCUUGUUGGUGGGGUAGUGGCUUACCAAGGCUUUGACGGGUAGCCGGCCUGAGAGGGUGACCGGCCACAUUGGGACUGAGAUGCGACCCAGACUACUACGGGAGGCAGCAGUGGGGAAUAUUGCACAAUGGGCGGAAGCCUGAUGCAGCGACGCCGCGUGCGGGAUGACGGCCUUCGGGUUGUAAACCGCUUUCGCCUGUGACGAAGCGUGAGUGACGGUAAUGGGUAAAGAAGCACCGGCUAACUACGUG
rnacentral:rRNA from 1 species